rnacentral:tRNA from 1 species
GAUAAAUUGGCAGAUUAGUGCAUUAAGUUUAGAACUUGAAUUAAGUAUAUAAAAUACAUUUAUUA